rnacentral:tRNA from 1 species
GUCUCGGUGGCCUAAUGGAUAAGGCGUCGGUUUCCGGAGCCGAAGACUGAGGGUUCGAGUCCCUCCCGAGACG